AUAAAAUUUAUUUCCCUUAUAAUAUAUCAAAUGUAACUCAUUUAUCACCUCUCUCUCAAUGCUAUGCCCGUAGAUCGCAUUUCAUGUUAUAAGAUUUUAGCGACCGACUCUCCAUUACUAAAAAUAUAAGAUUUUUGCAGCAUUUUUUUAUACCAGUUUUAAAAUUGGAGCUAUAAAUUGAUAUAAACAGCAGUUUUAACCGCUACUAAAAAAAUUAUUUAAAACUUAAUUUUUUAAUAGUGAUUUAUAGAAGCGGUUUGUCGCCGUUAUUCUUUGUGCCCUAGCUCUCGCUCGACUAUGUUCCGCGUUCGUCUCCCUGCGGCCAUAUAAUCCACCGGGAAGUAACAGAGAUUGUCGACGACGAGGCAGUGAAGGCAAUUAGGGUGAAUCAUGAGAUGGUCGAGAUGAUGUCAUGUUGCCGCUUGGAGUUUCGUCUCUGGUCUCAUUUUUUUUUUCCUCAUUUUUCCCAUUUCGGAGAGGAUUGUUAGUGAGGAACUGGGAGUUCUCACUGCUCUGCUUCUUUUAGUCGGCUAGGUCUUCAUGAUCCAGUAGAAUCAGAGAUCUUUGUUUGGCUGUGGGUUUAGAUCCGGUGAGGCUUCUACGGUUCGCUGAAUACUUCUUUGAAGUAAUGUGCCUAGCUUUCGGUUUGCAAUGAAAAUAUUUUCAGUUUGCAUUUUGAAUUCGGAGCACGAAUCAAAACGCUUGUGUAACAGAAACAUUUCUUGUCUUGUUCUGUUGCUAAUUUAUGAUUUAUUGUGAGUUAUGAAUUUAGAUGAUUAUUGCGCUUAUUUUUGGAGCAGAUUAGCAAAGGAGCAUUUGGCUCCGCUCUUAUCGUGAAGCACAAGGUGGAAAAGAAAAAGUAUGUCCUGAAGAAAUCAGACUUGCUCGGUAGAUAGAUAGGAACCGCAGGUUUGCAUAUCUGGAGGUUACUUUUGGAGAGCUAUGGACUACUGUGCUGGAAUUUCAUGGAGGGAUAUUACAAUCCGACAAUGAUGAGCUAGGCCAUUCCCCUUUAUUGCCAUGGAUGGCCUACUUGGCAACCUGGCUUGAAAUCUAUCUUGAUGUUGGCUGCUGGAGGUUCUGUGAAGGCCUUUCUCCUAUGCUGUUGCAACGUUAUGCUCUAGAUCUUAGGCUACCUGAUCCUCCGGCGCGGUUUUCGUGAGCUUAUCACUGAUCUUAUGAUGUUUUGGGGUUUUGGUCUUUUUUCUUUCUGAGUCCUUAUGAUUGUAAUAUCCUCCACUUGAUGCUCCUUUUUUUGGCAAGCUGGUUGGAUAUCUUUUGUUGGCUGAUGCUUUAAUUUUCUCUUCACAGGUUUACUUGUAAUUUUUCGUUCAUUCUAAUAUAUGGGCUUUCUGCCCCGGGUUUACCCAAAAAAAAAAAAA